rnacentral:rRNA from 1 species
UACGUAGGGGGCAAGCGUUAUCCAGAAUUACUGGGUGUAAAGGGUGCGUAGGUGGUAUGGCAAGUCAGAAGUGAAAACCCAGGGCUUAACUCUGGGACUGCUUUUGAAACUGUCAGACUGGAGUGCAGGAGAGGUAAGCGGAAUUCCUAGUGUAGCGGUGAAAUGCGUAGAUAUUAGGAGGAACAUCAGUGGCGAAGGCGGCUUACUGGACUGAAACUGACACUGAGGCACGAAAGCGUGGGGAGCAAACAGG